UUGGCGCUGCCUGCCCGCCGCCCCGGAAGGCGCUGGGCUCGAACCGGGGCCGCGGCGGCUCCGCCAGGCGCUCCCCGGUGGAUCAGGAGGUGCUGCCCCGGUGACCGGAGGUCGGAAUGGGCCGGCGCUCCUCGGACACGGAGGAGGAGGGCAGGAGCAGGAGGAAGAAGAAGCACCGGCGGCGCUCCUCCUCCAGCAGCUCCUCGGACAGCCGCGCCUACAGCCGCAAGAAGUCGGGCCGGAAAUCCAGGUCCAGGUCGCGGUCCCGGGAUCUUCCGUCCUGGUCCCAUUCCUAUGAGAAAAGGCGCAGACACAGAUCCAGCAGCAGCUCUUCCUACGGCUCCAGGAGGAAGCGCAGCCGCUCCCGGGGCAGAGGCAAAUCCUACAGAUCCCAAAGGUCCAGGUCAAAGAGCAGGACCAGGAGGUAAGAAUCUCCCUAGGAAAG